AGCCCAAACCAUCCAUGUUACGGCAUGGGGGGGGGUGUAGGACUACGCCGUUGCAUGAAGACAUCAGAGAAGAACUUUCUGGAAAGAAAGACCAUAGAGCAUGACAGUUGCGUAUUCGAAUGUUGUCGAAGCAUAGUAGUAUCCUGAGUAGCGCGGAGCACGAGGAAUUCUGCGUGAAUCUGCCGGGACCAUCCGGUAAGGCUAAAUACUCCCGAGAGACCGAUAGCGAACCAGUACCGUGAGGGAAAGGUGAAAAGCACUUCGAACAGAAGAGUGAAAUAGUUCCUGAAACCGUGCGCCUACAAGCGGUCGGAGCUCGUUAAUGAGUGACGGCGUGCCUUUUGCAUAAUGAACCUACGAGUUGCCUUUGCCGGCAAGGUUAAGUGUGACGACACACGUAUCCGAAGCGAAAGCGAGUCUGAACAGGGCGUAUAGUCGGCAGUGGCAGACGCGAAACCAAGUGAUCUACCCUUGGCCAGGUUGAAGGCUGGGUAACACCAGCUGGAGGACCGCACCAAUAAGCGUUGAAAAGCUUCUGGAUGAGCUGAGGGUAGGGGUGAAAGGCUAAUCAAACUUGGAGAUAGCUCGUACUCCCCGAAAUGCAUUUAGGUGCAGCCUUGCGGGUUACUGAUGUGAGGUAGAGCGACUGAUAAGAUGCGAGGGCUUCACCGCCUAUCAAGUCUUGACAAACUCCGAAUGCGCAUCAGUUCUACCGCAGGAGUGAGGGCAUGGGUGCUAAGGUCCGUGCCCGAGAGGAGAAGAAUCCGGACCACCUGCUAAGGUCCCGAAAUGACAGCUAAGUUAAACUAACGAAGUCUGACUGCUAAGACAGCUAGGAUGUUGGCUUGGAAGCAGCCAUUCAUUUAAAGAGUGCGUAACAGCUCACUAGUCGAGGAGUUUGGCGUGGAUAAUAAUCGGGUAUUAAGUUGUCUACCGAAGCAGUGGGAUCAUUGAUAUGAUCGGUAGGGGAGCAUUCCAGUCAGCGUCGAAGGCGUACCGUGAGGUAUUCUGGAGCGUCUGGAAAAGCAAAUGUAGGUAUAAGUAACGAUAAAGGGGGCGGGAAACCCCCUCGCCGAAAGACUAAGGUUUCCUGAUCAACGCUAAUCGGAUCAGGGUCAGUCGGGUCCUAAGGCUCAGCCGAACGGCGAUGCCGAUGGCAGAAACGGUUAAUAUUCCGUUACUACCUUCAGGAGUGACGUGGAGACGCAGUAGUGACAGUGCCGCCAUCUGACGGAAUAGAUGGUUGAAGGGUGUAGGAGUCGAUCAUGGCAGGCAAAUCCACCAUGAGAUCCGAACCUGACAGUAUGCCGCGUCCUUCGGGACAAGGCAAUAGUGCGCGUAAGCAUGCUGCCGAGAAAAUCCGCUAAACUUAAUCCUGCAGGUACCCGUACCGCAAACGGACACACGUAGUCGGGAUGAAUAUUCUAAGGCGCUUGAGUGAUUCACGGUUAAGGAACUAGGCAAACUGACCCUGUAACUUCGGGAUAAAGGGUCCCUACCCUUUUAUGGGAGGGCGCAGAGAAUCGGUCCAGGCAACUGUUUAACAAAAACACAGGGCUGUGCCAAAUCGAAAGAUCCAGUAUACAGCCUGACACCUGCCCGGUGCUGGAAGGUUAAGAGGAGAUGUCAUCGAUAAGAGAAGCGUUGAAUUGAAGCCCCAGUAAACGGCGGCCGUAACUAUAACGGUCCUAAGGUAGCGAAAUUCCUUGUCGGGUAAGUUCCGACCUGCACGAAUGGUGUAAUGAUCUGGACGCUGUCUCAACCGUGAGCUCAGUGAAAUUGUAGUAUCGGUGAAGAUGCCGAUUACCCGCGAUGGGACGAAAAGACCCCGUGAACCUUUACUAUAGCUUAACAUUGAAUUUGGGUAAUUGAUGUGUAGGAUAGGCCGGAGGCUUUGAAGCAGGUACGCCAGUAUUUGUGGAGCCGCUGUUGAAAUACGGCCCUUUGAUUAUUUGAGUUCUAACUCGCGUUGCGAGGACACUGUUUGGUGGGUAGUUUGACUGGGGUGGUCGCCUCCAAAAGCGUAACGGAGGCUUCUAAAGGUGCCCUCACGACGAUUGGUAACCGUCGGUAGAGUGUAAUGGCAUAAGGGCGCUUGACUGGGAGACUAACAAGUCGAUCAGGUAGGAAACUAGAGCAUAGUGAUCCGGUGUUUCCGUAUGGAAGGGACAUCGCUCAAAGGAUAAAAGGUACUCCGGGGAUAACAGGCUGAUCCCUCCCAAGAGCUCAUAUCGACGGAGUGGUUUGGCACCUCGAUGUCGGCUCGUCACAUCCUGGGGCUGGAGAAGGUCCCAAGGGUUCGGCUGUUCGCCGAUUAAAGUGGCA
rnacentral:rRNA from 1 species